UACGUAGGCAGCGAGCGUUGUUCGGAGUUACUGGGCGUAAAGGGUGCGUAGGCGGUUGUUUUAAGUUUGGUGUGAAAUCUCCCGGCUCAACUGGGAGGGUGCGCCGAAUACUGAAUGACUAGAGUGCGGGAGAGGACGGUGGAAUUCCCAGUGUAGCGGUGAAAUGCGUAGAUAUUGGGAGGAACACCAGUGGCGAAGGCGACUUACUGGACACAUAUUGACGCUGAGGUGCGAAAGCGUGGGGAGCAAACAGG
rnacentral:rRNA from 1 species